rnacentral:rRNA from 2 species
CAGGCGGUCUGUCAAGUCGGAUGUGAAAUCCCCGGGCUCAACCUGGGAACUGCAUUCGAAACUGGCAGGCUUGAGUCUUGUAGAGGGGGGUAGAAUUCCAGGUGUAGCGGUGAAAUGCGUAGAGAUCUGGAGGAAUACCGGUGGCGAAGGCGGCCCCCUGGACAAAGACUGACGCUCAGGUGCGAAAGCGUGGGGAGCAAACAGGAUUAGAUACCCUGGUAGUCCACGCCGUAAACGAUGUCUACUUGGAGGUUGUGCCCUUGAGGCGUGGCUUCCGGAGCUAACGCGUUAAGUAGACCGCCUGGGGAGUACGGCCGCAAGGUUAAAACUCAAAUGAAUUGACGGGGGCCCGCACAAGCGGUGGAGCAUGUGGUUUAAUUCGAUGCAACGCGAAGAACC